GCGCACCAGGCGCGAAUUUUGGGCAAUGGGCGCAAGUCUGACCCAGCGACGCCGCGUGAGGGAUGAAGUCCUUCGGGAUGUAAACCUCUGUUGAGGGGGACGAUAAUGACGGUACCCCUCGAGGAAGCCUCGGCUAACUCCGUGCCAGCAGCCGCGGUAAUACGGAGGAGGCAAGCGUUGUCCGGAAUCACUGGGCGUAAAGGGUGUGUAGGUGUCCUGAUGGGUCAGGUGUGAAAUCCAACAGCUUAACUGUUGAACUGCAUUUGAAACUAUCGGGAUUGAGGACAUGAGGGGAGAGUGGAACUCGCGGUGUAGCGGUAGAAUGCGUGGAUAUCGCGAGGAAUGCCGAUGGCGAAGGCGGCUCUCUAGCGUGUUCCUCGUAUGAGGAGCCGAAUAAUUUUAAUCUUCGGGUUAUGAUUAUUCGGUCCUGACACUGAAACACGAAAGCUAGGGGAGCGAACGGGAUUAGAUACCCCUGUA
rnacentral:rRNA from 1 species